rnacentral:lncRNA from 1 species
CCACGAAAAGCGUCUUCACUGACAAAACAAAGUGUCUUCACGCGCCUGCUCCGUUUCGGUGUGCGUACAGGCUUGUUUUUUUUCGCUUUGUGCGGCGUGUGUAGUGCGCCGUCGAGCACAAGAAACUUUCGCCGUUGUUUCAUGAGAGUCCGGUGUGUGCUCGUGCCUUUGGCACGGAUUCCACCGCUUCCUCCACAAGGCACAGAGGCGCGGAGUGCUUUGCUGACAAAGCGCAGAGAUCCCUGUGUGUGUUGGCUCACCAAAAAAGGUCAAAACAGCGUCGCGGAGCCCAAAUCACGCAAACGCUUCAAAAGUGACGGUCAGUUCCCAACGGGGAGUUGUAACGCGUGGAUGUCCGAAGCUCCAAAGAAGCGUACCCACCCCUGCGCUGAAUAGGAAGAUUCGGGACAUGCGUCUUUAUCUUUUUUUGUUAGGUGUCUGUCAUGCUCAUCCCCAGUCGCUCGAGUCUAGCAGAUCGGGUCACAGCACGGAGCCGUCGAGUGGUGUGUGAGAAGUGUGUGCUUGCGUGCCGUUCCACGUCGCUGCCGAAUAGAACGGGUCCCCUGCUUUGCAGCUAACGACGAUUCGAAUGCAAAAGCGUUCACUGUCAUCCGAGGAGACGGCUCGGCUGUAAACCGCAAGCGCUUUCAUACCGGCGUGUUUGACAAACCCUGGAUGAAGGGUAGCUCUGCCCACGUUCCAACACGUGGAACACACCGAGAAAUGACAGUGGAAACAGGUGUGACGACUUGCUGACUUUCAGUUUGAUGUGGACGAAGACGGAACCUCGCUCUGUGCCUUUCGUACCGUGGAUUGUAGAAGACGCCUCUGCGUGGAACGGGUGAUUGCUUCUUUGUACCGCAAUAAAGUUGCCGUAUAACUGUUGGCGCAACACAACAGACUCGUGGCGACUGUUGCAAGCUGGUAAGGCGGACCGCUACAGCCGUGCGAAGGCCUUCGUGAACGGCUGAACUAAAGUGCGGAACCUGCUGAGACCGAUGCGUGUGUGUUUCUAAUCCAACUUCUGAUAACCGACUUUGCUGUGUAAAGCAAGGCGACGUAACCCUGGAAGUAAUACGAGCGCGAAAAACCAAGUUUGUGUCGGAAAAGUCGGACUGUGCCUUCGGCAACGCCGUCCACGUCUGCCGGACGGACGGGCAACGGGC